AUCUAGCAAGCUAGAGGAUUAAAAACUUUAUAAGAGUUCCUUUGAAGAAGUUUAUUUUUAUCAAUUUCAUAUUUACAAGGAUGUUACACAAUUAAAAAUAGAACUAUAUAGAAUGGAUAGGAUAUUUUUUGUUUUACAAUACAUAAUAUGUAAGGUUAAAAAAAUUAGUGAAUUGAUGAAUGGAUAGUUUAGAAGGCAAGAUGGAUGAUGUAAACAAAAAAAAUAAUUAUCAUCAAUUGUAUAGUGGUUAGUAUUUUGAAGAAAGCAUAAGUAGUUUGAAGAAGUAGACAGAGUCAGAUUGUGAUAAUCAUAAGCCAAAAUAAGUUUGGUACUACUUUUUUCUUUUUUUUUCUUAUAGAAGAAGACUAAUGGAUAGAAUUUGAAUAAUGUGAAGUGAA
rnacentral:lncRNA from 1 species